rnacentral:rRNA from 1 species
AGAGUUUGAUCCUGGCUCAGAUUGAACGCUGGCGGCAGGCCUAACACAUGCAAGUCGAGCGGUAGAGAGAAGCUUGCUUCUCUUGAGAGCGGCGGACGGGUGAGUAAUGCCUAGGAAUCUGCCUGGUAGUGGGGGAUAACGUUCGGAAACGGACGCUAAUACCGCAUACGUCCUACGGGAGAAAGCAGGGGACCUUCGGGCCUUGCGCUAUCAGAUGAGCCUAGGUCGGAUUAGCUAGUUGGUGAGGUAAUGGCUCACCAAGGCGACGAUCCGUAACUGGUCUGAGAGGAUGAUCAGUCACACUGGAACUGAGACACGGUCCAGACUCCUACGGGAGGCAGCAGUGGGGAAUAUUGGACAAUGGGCGAAAGCCUGAUCCAGCCAUGCCGCGUGUGUGAAGAAGGUCUUCGGAUUGUAAAGCACUUUAAGUUGGGAGGAAGGGCAGUUACCUAAUACGUGAUUGUUUUGACGUUACCGACAGAAUAAGCACCGGCUAACUCUGUGCCAGCAGCCGCGGUAAUACAGAGGGUGCAAGCGUUAAUCGGAAUUACUGGGCGUAAAGCGCGCGUAGGUGGUUUGUCUAGUUGGAUGUGAAAUCCCCGGGCUCAACCUGGGAACUGCAUUCAAAACUGACUGACUAGAGUAUGGUAGAGGGUGGUGGAAUUUCCUGUGUAGCGGUGAAAUGCGUAGAUAUAGGAAGGCACACCAGUGCCGAAGGCGACAACAUGGACUAAUACUGACACUGA